UAUCCGGAUUUAUUGGGUUUAAAGGGUGCGUAGGCGGCCUUUUAAGUCAGCGGUGAAAGUCUGUGGCUCAACCAUAGAAUUGCCGUUGAAACUGGAGGGCUUGAGUAUGUUUGAGGCAGGCGGAAUGCGUGGUGUAGCGGUGAAAUGCUUAGAUAUCACGCAGAACCCCGAUCGCGAAGGCAGCCUGCCAAGCCAUGACUGACGCUGAUGCACGAAAGCGUGGGGAUCAAACAGGAUUAGAUACCCUGGUAGUCCACGCAGUAAACGAUGAUCACUAGCUGUUUGCGAUACACGGUAAGCGGCACAGCGAAAGCGUUAAGUGAUCCACCUGGGGAGUACGCCGGCAACGGUGAAACUCAAAGGAAUUGACGGGGGCCCGCACAAGCGGAGGAACAUGUGGGUUAAUUCGAUGAUACGCGAGGAACCUUACCCGGGUUUGAACGCAUUUCGACCGCUCUGGAAACAGAGCCUCUAGCAAUAGCGAUUUGCGAGGUGCUGCAUGGUUGUCGUCAGCUCGUGCCGUGAGGUGUCGGCUUAAGUGCCAUAACGAGCGCAACCCUUGCCACUAGUUACUAACAGGUAAAGCUGAGGACUCUGGUGGGACUGCCAGCGUAAGCUGCGAGGAAGGCGGGGAUGACGUCAAAUCAGCACGGCCCUUACAUCCGGGGCGACACACGUGUUACAAUGGCGUGGACAAAGGGAGGCCACCUGGCGACAGGGAGCGAAUCCCCAAACCACGUCUCAGUUCGGAUCGGAGUCUGCAACCCGACUCCGUGAAGCUGGAUUCGCUAGUAAUCGCGCAUCAGCCAUGGC
rnacentral:rRNA from 1 species